GAAGGUUAGAAAUAAAAUAAGAAUCAUGUAAUAAAAUUUUCAGAAUUUAAAAAUGCAGAAAAGUAUUCUUUAACCAAUUUAAACAAGGUAGAAAAGAGAAAACUAGUGAAAAAUAGAAAAUUAGUGAAAGAAAAUGUGAAAAAAUAAAAAUCAAAUGAAGAAAAAUAAAAGCGAAUUUUAGAAAUUAUUUUUGUAUUUU
rnacentral:lncRNA from 1 species